AGAAUCAACGCUGGCGGCGUGCCUAACACAUGCAAGUCGAACGAGAAAGUGGAGCAAUCCAUGAGUAAAGUGGCGCACGGGUGAGUAACACGUGACUAACCUACCCUUGAGUGGGGGAUAACCUAGGGAAACCUGGGCUAAUACCGCAUAAUACCUUCGGGUCAAAGGAGCAAUUCGCUUAAGGAGGGGUCGCGGCCGAUUAGUUAGUUGGCGGGGUAAUGGCCCACCAAGACGAUGAUCGGUAU
rnacentral:rRNA from 1 species